CCCCUAGUAACUGCGAGUGAAGCGGGAAAAGCUCAAAUUUAAAAUCUGGCAGUCUUUGGCUGUCCGAGUUGUAAUCUAGAGAAGCGUUAUCCGCGYUGGACCGUGUACAAGUCUCCUGGAAUGGAGCGUCAUAGAGGGUGAGAAUCCCGUCUUUGACACGGACUACCARGGCUUUGUGAUGCGCUCUCAAAGAGUCGAGUUGUUUGGGAAUGCAGCUCAAAAUGGGUGGUAAAUUCCAUCUAAAGCUAAAUAUUGGCGAGAGACCGAUAGCGAACAAGUACCGUGAGGGAAAGAUGAAAAGAACUUUGGAAAGAGAGUUAAACAGUACGUGAAAUUGCUGAAAGGGAAACGCUUGAAGUCAGUCGCGUUGUCCAGGGAUCAACCUUGCUUUUGCUUGGUGCACUUUCUGGUUGACGGGUCAGCAUCAAUUUUGACUAUUGGAAAAAGAUUAGGGGAAUGUGGCAUCUUUGGAUGUGUUAUAGCCCUUAGUUGCAUACAAUGGUUGGGAUUGAGGAACUCAGCACGCCGCAAGGCCGGGUUUUUAACCACGUACGUGCUUAGGAUGCUGGCAUAAUGGCUUUAAUCGACCCGUCUUGAAACACGGACCAAGGAGUCUAACAUGCCUGCGAGUGUUUGGGUGGAAAACCCGAGCGCGUAAUGAAAGUGAAAGUUGAGAUCCCUGUCGUGGGGAGCAUCGACGCCCGGACCAGACCUUUUGUGACGGUUCCGCGGUAGAGCAUGUAUGUUGGGACCCGAAAGAUGGUGAACUAUGCCUGAAUAGGGUGAAGCCAGAGGAAACUCUGGUGGAGGCUCGUAGCGAUUCUGACGUGCA
rnacentral:rRNA from 1 species